AAUAAUAUUAUGACAGAGGAUUCCAGGAAGGAGAUGCAACAGAUUUGUCGAGUACUAGUAAAAAGAUGGAUGGCAGCACUGAAGAAUAUUUUAACAAUUUUUAGACGAGAUCCACACAGUUCCCAAUCUAAAGGA